GGACUACCCGGGUUUCUAAUCCUGUUUGCUCCCCACGCUUUCGUGCCUGAACGUCGGUGCUGGACCAGGAAGCCGCUUUCGCCACUGGUGUUCCUUCCGAUAUCUACGCAUUUCACCGCUACACCGGAAAUUCCGCUUCCCUCUUCCGCACCCUAGCAGAGCAGUCUCGAAUGCAAUUCCCAGGUUGAGCCCGGGGCUUUCACACCCGACUUACGCUACCGUCUACGCACGCUUUACGCCCAGUAAUUCCGAUUAACGCUUGCACCCUCUGUAUUACCGCGGCUGCUGGCAC
rnacentral:rRNA from 1 species